rnacentral:rRNA from 1 species
UACAGGGGGUGCAAACGUUGCUCGGAAUUAUUGGGCGUAAAGCGCGCGUAGGCGGUGACUCAAGUCGGAUGUGAAAGCCCUUGGCUUAACCGAGGAAGUGCAUCCGAAACUGAGUCGCUAGAGUACGAUAGAGGGUCGCGGAAUUCCCGGUGUAGAGGUGAAAUUCGUAGAUAUCGGGAGGAACACCGGUGGCGAAGGCGGCGUCCUGGGUCGAUACUGACGCUGAGGCGCGAAAGCUAGGGGAGCAAACGGG